GUGAAUGAAAACGGAAGGAAACUAAACAGGCUUCCUAGAAUAGCACAGAACAUUACCAGGUUGACUCAAAAUACAAAGUAAUUCCCUGCACUGGAUGCUGUCGUGUCGUUCGUCCGGGAAUAAUCGUUUUAUAUACCGGAGCAACUAAACUGUACACGGAUAUACAUCUGGUCAGCAUUCGCCUCAGACAGCAUCUACAGUUUCAUAGCAUGUCUUCCUGGUCCAGUGCGUAAACUGUGUUCCAAAUAUUAUGCUGCUGCUUUUUUUUCUUUCAUGUCUAACGGCAGAAAUUACUAUGCAGUCACAUGUCAGUAGGAUUUAAACAGAUUCAGCUGAGUUUGUUUUUUUGUUCUCUUUUAAAUUGGACAUGGUUGCUAAUUGGUUUGCCAGGUGUUUGUUAUUAAAUAACCUCUAGUUAAAUUAAACAAGUUGCAUUUCUAAUGCAAAAUGGGAGUGUGAUUUCUCAGAAGAUAAAGUGUGGCAGAAGUGCAGUGUCUGGCAUGAAAAACAUGGAUAUAAUUUUGGAAAAAUGAGGAGGGUUCAUAAAAAUCUUGGGGAAAGUGUGAGUCAAAUAGAGAAAUGGUGGUAAGGUGGGUGUAUUGUGUUGUUUUGUUGCUUUGUGUCACCUUACUGUGUGGAGUUAAACAUGUGCUCCUUGUGACUGUCCAGAAGACAUGCAUGGUAGGUGCCUGUUCUGUAUUCGCCACAAACAUGGAUGUAUACUAAAGUGCUUAAGGGCUUGGAGUAAAUGAACCAUAUUUUUAAGGAAGACUUCUAAUAAACAAAAUAAAAAUACUAAAAAAACGUUUCCAACAGACCAGAUAUCUGUAAUUUUAAAACUGUUUGAUCCACCAGUGAAAGCCUUGCUACUAUGGUCCAGGUGGAUGGAGUUCUAGAUGAUUGGUAAACACCAAGCAGAAGGAAGAGGGAUCUGAACUGGAAUACUGUGUAGCAAGAUGAUUAGUCCCACUUCAUUGUGUCAAAUUGUCCUCAUAGGUGUAUGGUGAUCCCAACUUGGCAAUGGCCUAACAUGCUAUGGAAAGGUUUUUCUUUUCUAGGCUCCCUGGUUGCUCAAAAGGAAAACCAUUAUAGCCAUUAUAACCUUCUGACCUUAACUCUAUUAAGGACCUGGGCUGGCAUCUUCAGAUCAAAUGUACGUGGAAAGUGUUUGUAUAAUCUGCAUUUAAGGCUCCACAUGCACUUGGUAGUCUGGGGCUGUAAACAUCCCCGACUGGAAGCUGUCUGCACCACAGAGCUUUCAGUCUGAUGUUUGCGGCUGCUGGCUACCCCCUACUGCCGAGUUAACCUUUUUAUUCAGUAUUCAUUGAAAUCCAUACCUGAUUUAGACACUGUGCUCCUUUAAAGUGUAGCUUUGUGUUCAGUUGUUCAGACUCAGUUCAUGUAAACAUCCUACACUCAGCUGUUAUUGAUUGCCACAGAGGCUGAGAGGAGGUUGUUUACUUGAACUGGUUGGGAAUGAUACUUGGACUUAAGAUGGAGUGCCUUCAUUCACAUUGUCUGUUACACAUCAUUCAUGAGCUAUCCUGGAAUCGACGGCUCAAGGGAAAGAAAUUUGAAGUCUUAUUUGUCAAUUGUUCUGAUUUUUAACAAAUAAAGUUACUUGAAUACA